CAAAAAAAACCUGAAAGUUUUGUCUGAGACAAAAAAAGGAAGGAUACCCAGCUAAAAGGACUGUCAAGGAUCAACAUUGCCCGUGCUUUCACUCGGUAGCGUGAGCUCAAAGACGAGGAGGGAUUUCAGACCAAUGGUGCCUUGGCUCUGUUCCUGCUUUACUAUGAAGCACGACACUUACACUUUGAUCCACUGGCACUGACAAAAUCAACCAAAACUGAGAGGUCUUAAGUGGGACUUUAAAAAGGCAUUGGUUUGAUUCCCAAAAGCACUCACAAGAUUGACUCUCUAUGUCAACCCUUGGCAAGGAAAAAACCCAAUGUGGAUACAACAGCAAACUGACUCACCAGCGGCUCCGCCAUGAUGAUUCGAAUCUUGCGUUCUGACACCGUGGCAAAGAUGGCGAAAAGGCUCUUGAGGACAUACUCGCCCGGUUUGCUCUCCGGGUCCACGCUGAUCGGCAUCAUGACCGGGGGACCCUUCUCUCCCUGAGGACAGCAGAUUGGAGAGAUGGGGGGUUUGCUGUAGCCAUUCCCCACGGGCGAGGCUGCAGAAACAACACAGAGAGAAAAAAAGGUGUUUUAAUAAGUGAAACAUGACCAAUUGAGGCAUGCACGAGAGCAACAGGAUAAGCCACAGAGGUGUUUACAAAGAGAGACGACUGAUUAGGGAGCUGGAACAAGGUUUCCCCAAACAUGGACAUGAAAAUUCCCCCCAUGUUGAGCAUUCCUGACGCACACUGUCCAAAGGGCACUGACUUCUACGCGUCACACUGCGACGGUGCGCAAGGAAAUGAAAGCCUCAUGGCCAGCAGCUGCUGUUUUCAUUUCCUACCAGAGAUGUCCCAAAGAUCUUGUGACCAUCUUGUUGUGUUACGAUGUCGCCCACGUUUGAUUACGCACGGUCCACUCCCAGGCCAAAAAAACCAUGCCAGCUAACAUGCAAGUUAAAGUUUGCCUCAGUGUUACACUCUGGUGCCUCCACACAAAGACUCACUAAAUAUAGUAAAGAAGUGCAUACAAACGUCUCGUUAGAGCACAAACAGUCACUGUGCUUGCACUGACCACCAUUAAACUCAUGUAAAAUAUUUAUUGCCAUUACAUUUAUACAUAUUUCAUGUUUUUUUUAUCCUAUCACUAUGCUGUAGCUAAACAAAUACACAUUGUUAGUGUUAUUAUGGUUUUGAAUUAUUUUAUUGUCAUAAUUUAUUACUAGCUUUUAACAAUUAUUUUUCUUAUUAUUGUUAUAUUAUUCAAAAAUAAUUAUUUGCUCAAGUAAUCUUUAUUAAUGUAUUUGUUUUAAUUCUAAUAUAAUUUACAAUAAUGAGUAUUCCGAACAAUUGUUACUCUGAUUACUAAUAAUGCUUAUUAGUACUAGUAAAAGUAGUAUUAAUAAUGCAUCUAUUUUCUAAUUUUCUCUUUUUCUCUCAAUAUGAACCAUAGAUGCAUAUAGGAUGACCAUGUAAAAUUAAUUGUGUACAUUACUAUACUUUCCUAAAGAAAUAACCAAAAUGCUUUUCUUGCACCCGCUGAAAUGUCCUCACCUUGUUAACUGAGACUGAUAUAGACUCUUUUUAAAAUGCAAAUUCAAACAACAAAGACAACACAAGACAUCAAUAAGUUCAAAGGGCUGGU